rnacentral:lncRNA from 1 species
AAAUUACACAAGAAAGGCAAAAAUGUUUCUUUCCUUAAUAGAUUUUUACCACAUUUUUGUUAAUACAAGCUCGUUUUGUAAAAGAAAAACAAAACAAUAUUCACGAAAAAUGUAAAUAAGGCUGCAUUAAACAACUACAGUUCUAAUAUUUCCUCACCCAAAAUCUUAUUUGGAUCUUCCCCUUCUCUGAUCCAUUCCAGUCCCCUUUCUCUUGGCUAACUCACUUCCCCUUAUUGAUUUAUUUAUAUAUUUUUUCCUAUGCCCGUCUCCCAAUCAUUCAAAUUGCUCUUCACCUGCACAUCCCACUAGUGAUGGUCCCCAUUUUCCACAAAUGCCUCCGUUACUAUCAUAUUUCUGUUAUGAGCAAUCUAAAAAAUUCUGGGAAAUUUAUCUUUGAGUAUAACAUGUCCAGCCCAUAUAUCAUCCGAAAAUCAUAUCUUUAGUCCAUUAGCAACACACCAUCUAGAACAUUCCUCAAAGGCCUUCUUGCCCUUUAAAAUGUUCUUCCAUAAACUACAGCCAUGGGAUCUUCCUUCCACACUCCAUUCAACUCCUUCUGUGCUCGCUCCCCAUCUAGCCCCCACCACUUUGCACCAUAAUCUGUCACAUUCCCUACAAUUUCUCUAUAACUAUUUUCCUAACAAAGC